rnacentral:lncRNA from 1 species
GCCACGCCUGAACACUGAACAACUGAGAAAUGAUUAGAGUAUCAAGUGGAGAUGGAAUUUCACCAUGCAGCCCUGAAUGGCCUCGCCUUGUAGAAAGCCUCUUACCCCAGCCUUUCAAGUGCUAGAAUCACAGGCUAUUACACAUGGCAGGAGGACAAGAUCCAUGGGGCAAGCACAGGAGGCUUACCACACACCACCAGAGCACCUGCAACUUCCCUGAUCUCCACGGGAGAAACUGAAGUCCCCUAAAUCCUGACCUAAGCCACACAGUGGGAAAGGUGCCACUGGCACAGAAAUUAAGUACAAAUCUUCCUUUGGAAAAAUUAAGACUUAAUUUUGUGAAUU